ACGAAGGGGGCUAGCGUUGUUCGGAAUUACUGGGCGUAAAGCGCGCGCAGGCGGUUUCUCAAGUCAGUGGUGAAAGCCCGGAGCUCAACUCCGGAACUGCCAUUGAAACUGUGAAACUUGAGGACGAGAGAGGUGAGUGGAAUUCCCAGUGUAGAGGUGAAAUUCGUAGAUAUUGGGAAGAACACCGGUGGCGAAGGCGGCUCACUGGCUCGUUUCUGACGCUCAGGCGCGACAGCGUGGGGAUCAAACAGGAUUAGAUACCCUGGUAGUCCACGCCGUAAACGAUGAACGCUAGCCGUUGGAUAGCUUGCUAUUCAGUGGCGCAGCUAACGCAUUAAGCGUUCCGCCUGGGGAGUACGGCCGCAAGGUUG
rnacentral:rRNA from 1 species